AUACGGAGGAUGCAAGCGUUAUCCGGAUUUAUUGGGUUUAAAGGGUGCGUAGGCGGUUUGCUAAGCGGGAGGUGAAAUGCCGGCGCUCAACGUCGGAAGUGCCUCCCGAACUCGUGGACUUGAAUGACUCUGCCGUGGGAGGAAUGUGUAGUGUAGCGGUGAAAUGCUUAGAGAUUACACAGAACACCGAUUGCGAAGGCAUCUCACGAAGGGUUGAUUGACGCUGAGGCACGAAAGCGAGGGGAUCAAACAGGAUUAGAUACCCUGGUGGUCCACGCAGUAAACGAUGAUGGCUAACCGCUGGGCUUAUCAGUUCAGUGGCCAAGCGAAAGCGAUAAGCCAUCCACCUGGGGAGUACGACCGCAAGGUUGAAACUCAAAUGAAUUGGCGGGG
rnacentral:rRNA from 1 species